rnacentral:rRNA from 1 species
UACGGAGGGUGCAAGCGUUAUCCGGAUUCACUGGGUUUAAAGGGUGCGUAGGAGGGCAGGUAAGUCAGUGGUGAAAUCUUUGGGCUUAACCCGAAAACUGCCAUUGAUACUAUCUGUCUUGAAUCCCGUGGAGGUGAGCGGAAUAUGUCAUGUAGCGGUGAAAUGCUUAGAUAUGACAUAGAACACCAAUUGCGAAGGCAGCUCGCUACACGAAGAUUGACUCUGAGGCACGAAAGCGUGGGGAGCAAACGGG